GAUGAACGCUAGCGACAGGCCUAACACAUGCAAGUCGAACGGUGUCUUCGGACAUAGUGGCGCACGGGUGCGUAACACGUAUGCAACCUACCUUACAUUGGGGGAUAGCCUUUCGAAAGGGAGAUUAAUACCGCAUAAGACAGUAGCUGGGCAUCCAGCAGCUGUUAAAGAUUUAUCGAUGUAAGCUGGGCAUGCGUCCAAUUAGCUAGUUGGUGAGGUAACGGCUCACCAAGGCAAUGAUUGGUAGGGGAACUGAGAGGUCAAUCCCCCACACUGGCACUGAGAUACGGGCCAGACUCCUACGGGAGGCAGCAGUAGGGAAUAUUGGGCAAUGGACGCAAGUCUGACCCAGCCAUGCCGCGUGCAGGAUGAAGGCGUUAUGCGUUGUAAACUGCUUUUAUACAGGAAGAAACGACUCUUGCGAGAGGCAUUGACGGUACUGUAUGAAUAAGCACCGGCUAACUCCGUGCCAGCCGCCGCCGUAAUAC
rnacentral:rRNA from 1 species